rnacentral:rRNA from 1 species
UACAGAGGGGGCAAGCGUUGUUCGGAAUUACUGGGCGUAAAGGGCGCGUAGGCGGCCUGUUAAGUCUGAUGUGAAAGCCCUGGGCUCAACCUGGGAACGGCAUUGGAAACUGGCUUACUAGAGUGCGGUAGAGGGGUGUGGAAUUCCCGGUGUAGCAGUGAAAUGCGUAGAUAUCGGGAGGAACAUCUGUGGCGAAGGCGACACCCUGGACCAGCACUGACACUGAGGCACGAAAGCGUGGGGAGCAAACAGGG